rnacentral:lncRNA from 1 species
AUGUGCUGUGUAAAGCUGACUCAGUGUCAUGUGACCUUCCGUGUUCGAAGUGAUGUCAGCUUUCUGGCUGCAGCUACAUCACACCUGCGAAGCCCAAGGAGUUGCACAGAGGUAUGCCAAGGCAGGCACUGGCCAAAGCAGUCACCUCAUCCCCUCAGGAAGGAAGAGCAACUCCUCACAGUCACGGUCCUCUGCCAUUCCCAUGAAGAGCACUGGCCACGCAGGCAGCACCCUGCGAUCUGCUGUCAGGAUCACUGCGGCACCCAUUUUUCCAACCCUAUCAUUUUAUUCCAGUUCCAGCCUUUAUCAUGUGCACAGACUGUCCCUUGGAGAUGCUGAUUACCACAGAGAAUUUAAAUCCUUUACAACAGACUACAUUUCCUGAUUUGCCUUCCACAACCCGAGAAGGCACCUGCAGAUUCCUACAGACCUCUAGCUCACAGUAACAAAACCUGCUGCCUUUAACAUGUCUGUUUGUCUGAAGCAGGAGCACAGCAUCACGCUGUGGGGUUGCUAUACAGCAUGCUGCUUGUCAGCUGCUUUUCAAGCAAUGCCAAUGUGCUCUGGCUCCAGGUCCGAAUGCUAAUGGGAUGCUCUUGUGAGUAAGCAUUUUCCAGACUGAAUGUGUUAUGAUCUCUCUGAACUGCUCUGUUUGGGGAGAAACAUUUCCCAAGGCUGUUUGCCUGACUCCCUUACCUAUCCACUGUGCCACUGAUGGCUGUUUACGAACUACACAGGGCACCAGCAACAAGUGCAUGGGUACUAAUCUGGGGCAUCUGAUGUAUCUCCAGCUUGGCAUUGCCUUGCUGUCUGAUUUGGAGUAGCCACUAAAGCUUUCAUAAGGGUUAUUUUCCGGUGAUUUCCAAGACACAUUUCCAUUUAAGAGCUCUUUUUAGGGUUUGGUUGUGUUUGUAUUGUUCUUUUGUUUGAGUUUUUCCCUGUGCCUGAGGAGGAACACAUACUCUAGAAUCUAAUAAACACUGAAAAUCAAGCUGAGUUAUUUUAGGU